rnacentral:rRNA from 1 species
GACGAACGCUGGCGGCGUGCUUAACACAUGCAAGUCGAACGAUGAAGCCCAGCUUGCUGGGUGGAAGAGUGGCGAACGGGUGAGUAACACGUGAGUAACCUGCCCCGAACUCUGGGAUAAGCACUGGAAACGGUGUCUAAUACUGGAUAUGCACCAUGGCCGCAUGGCCUGUGGUGGGAAAGAUUUAUCGGUUCGGGAUGACUCACGGCCUAUCAGCUAGUUGGUGAGGUAACGGCCCACCAAGCCCACGACGGGUAGCCGGCCUGAGAGGGGGACCGGCCACACUGGGACUGAGACACGGCCGAGAGUGCUACGGGGGGCAGCAGUGGGGAAUAUUGCACAAUGGGCGCAAGCCUGACGCAGCAACGCCGCGUGAGGGAUGACGGCCUUCGGGUUGUAAACCUCUUUUAGUAGGGAAGAAGCGAAAGUGACGGUACCUGCAGAAAAAGCACCGGCUAACUACGUGCCAGCCGCCGCCGUAA